GCUCACUCAUCCCUUCUUUCUCUUCUUCCGCUUUAGACACUAAGUCGUCCCCGUACCACUACAAAAUUAAAAAUAAACAAAAACAAAAAGGAAAAAAAGAAAAAUAAUAAAACAAGCACAUUCAGUCUUGCCAGAGGUAUCUAAAAACAAAAUCUGUUCAGGUGGAUAUUAUGUACAAAUGAAUAUGCGAUCACACAGGGGAUCCAGGUGGGGGCGCUCUGUCACACUGCGGUGAUCCGCACAGUUUCAGUCUCAGCCCCUCCGUCAGUUUCCAGGAGGGUGGAAUUGAAUCUGCUGGGAAGGAUGAGCCUGCACUGACACUGAUGGGAGCAGAGAAACACAAAGAUUAAUCAUCUGUAAUAAUACAAAUUAAUAACUGAAUAGUAAAUGUAAUAAAAAAAUAAAAUCUUGGUAAAUGCAUUUGAACAUUGCUGUAUUUUUAAAUAUCAGUUAAAUCUAAUGUUCAACUGGGGAUUGGAUUCUUGUAAGCUUGUAGACUCUGAGGUGGUCCAAUGUAGGUGUAGUGCUGGUGGUGUCCCUGCUGGGGUCCCGGCAGGCUGUAGCCCUGAAGGGAGUAGGAGGCCUGUGGCGAGCUGUGUCCUGGGGGCAUGUUAGGGGGCGUGGGGGCUGACAGCGGCCCAGAGUGAUACAAAGACUGAGGCUGAGGACCAGACUGACCAGACUAUAAAAAGAAGUCAAUACAGUACAUAUUUGGUAUAAUUAUUGAAAGCUUGUGAAAUCUUAGGGGAUCUCUUGUAGAAGUAUUUAGAGAAAAUUCUGGCAGAUGUACCUGUCCUGGACUUGGGGCGGGGUGUUGAGGGGGCGGCUGGCUGCCUGUGGGGGUGCUGGAGGGCUGAGGAUGAUGAAUGGAACCAGAGUGAUGAGAGAAUGACUGUGGAGCUGAAGAAGAAAGAGAGAGAGAGAGAGAAAACAGUUGAUAAUACUGUACAAGAAUUAUAUACACUUGGGGUGGAAGAAGUUUAGUUUUUUUUUUUUUUUUUUUAUUUUUUUUAUUUUACUUAGUUUUUUAACCUAGAUGCGAGAUGACACUGAGUUUUGCUUUAGAACACCUAGUACCCUCGCUUGCUUCCAAAUACCCACCACACACACACCACUGAAACCUUCCGUAAAAUAAUCUUUCAUAAAGUUCGGAAAGGUUGAAGCGAAUUACAAGGACAUUUGCAAACUUCAUUGCACAGGACGCACUAUGAGAGACGUGUGCUUUGUUUGAUGUUACACUUGAAAUGUGCGGUCGCGCCCAUCAGUAUUUUCCUUACAAAUGCUCUACAAAGUCAUAAUAAGUUUGGAAUGCAGUGGACUUAUAUAUUUAAAAUAUGAACCUCAAUAACAGAAGCCUGCUUUAAAUUUCAAAUGCUGAUGCGCGCUUUGUCUGGGAAGACUGCUCGCGCAUGCGGCUGUGCGUGUCCACGAUUUGUCCUGUAUUUUACAAAGGCCAACACAUAUUUGAAUUAACAAAUAAGUAUUUUGCACUGCUUAUAAUACUAAUAGCAAUUAUAAUGAAAUUUCAUAAGUAGUAUUAGAGAAGCUCAUUUGCAUGUGAUUUUGGGUCUUUGUUACCAUAGCGACGGAGUCUCUAGAACACACGCCGUUAAAGUCCUUUCACACGAGCGCAGCAUGCGUUAAACAAACCUGUGCGGUUUAAAACAUCUAGGAGUUCACAUCUGCCCUUUGAACACGAGACUCUCCAGAUGUAGCGCUGAAUGGGAUAGUUAUCAAUGAGUCUGUCCAGUAACUAAUGAUGAACGCGCAGUUUGCAGAAAGGGAUUUCAGUUGUUCACGGUGGACUGUCUGACUUAAAGGGACACUUCACCCAAAAAUGUUGUGUCAGUUUUUGACAGUUCACCCCAAAAAAAACAAACAAACAAUUUUAUCAUAUACACACCCACAAGUUGUUCUAAACCUGUAAUCAUUUAUUUCUUCUGUUGAACAUAGAAGAUACUUUAAUGUGGGUAACCAGACAGUUUCUCCCAUUUCAGUGACUCUGUUUUUUUUAACCUUACUAUGGAAGUUACAACCAUCAGAUGUUUAGUUGAGAGAAAUUCUUCCAAGUAUCUUCUUUUGUGAUCAAUAGAAAAAAGUGAACCAUACCAUUGUGAACCAUACCAUUCAAUGCUUCUAAAGGUAUUGGCCUAUUGUUUUAUUAACACUUGGAUAGUCUGGUAAUAUUAUAUUCCAUACAUUAUCAGAGCUUGGUAGACAUAAUUAUGAUAUUUUUAAGACAUGAUUAGACAGAUAAAUUAAUAUAUUAUAAUUAGUUAUAUUUGUCAGUUAUAUUAGUUUAAAAUUACUUAACUAUACUAACCGUUUUAUUUUUUUUUAACACUUGUUUUGAACAAUUUCUUUGUCAUUUGAAUAUUGAUUUUAAGUAGGGAGGCAAAGGUCACCUUACAAGCAUGUAAAAUCAGUUUUUUUUUUUUUUUUUUUAAAAGUAGGAUACAGUUAUUAAAAACAAAAUCUGCUUGUUUGAGAAUAUACUAGAAUAAUUUGUUCUACUGAAAUCGUGUAGGCUGGUACCUGUCCAGGGUAGUGGGGCAUUGCUUGUAUGACCUGGUUGUACUGCAGAUAAGAGGGAGGGUAAGGAGACGCCACCAGAGGAGGUCCUGCUGCUGAUGCCGCAGCCUGCAUCAUAGGUGGUGCUGAAGAGCUGUGGUCUGGACGAGGAGUCACCACAGAACCUUAGACAGGUAAAGAAAGUAACAGGAGUAUGACCCUGCGGCCUAAUGUUCAUACUAUCCAUCCUAAGUAUGUGAAAUUAGAAGAAGUGUGUGUCAAAGCAUAGCAAGUUGAAAAGAGUAUGUCACAAGUCCACGGUUGUUCUCCUAUAUACUAUUACACAGUCUGAUGGCUGUAGGCCUAUCUGUCCACGUGUUGUCACAUCCAGCUCCAAGUAGUAGUGCAAAAUAAUUUCUGCCUAAUUGACAGAUGCCAGUUUGUGAAGAAAAUUAAAAUAAUUUAGUUGAACUUAGUCAUAAAUGUCAAUAAUUAGAACUUUAUUUAUACUGAUGCCCUACCAUGCAUGUCAUUCUAUAUUAUAUUAUGUAACAUUAUCUGAUCGAUGCAAUGGUCAGCGUCAAGAGAUGCUAAAGUUACUCCCAGAGGAAUAAUUGGACUGAUUUAAAUUCAUUUUUAAAGGGAUAGAUCACCAAAAAAUGAAAAUUCUGUCAUUACUCACCCUCAUGUAGUUCCAAACCCGUAAGGCCUUCGUUCAGCUUCGGAACACAAAUUAAGAUAUUUUUGAUAAAAUCUGAGAUCUCUCAGACCCUCAAUAGACAGCAAGGAUAUCACCACGAUCAAGGCACAUAAACGUAGCAAUGAUAUUGGUAAAAUAGUCCAUGUGUCAUCAGCGGUUCAACUGUAAUUAAACAAAGCUACGAGAAUACUUCUUGAUAUUGUGUGGUUGAAAAGACUGAAGCUGUUUCAUUCAUGACAGAUGACAGCUGCUCUCUUUAGGUCAGCAGCAGCGCGAAAGCAGAUUUAAAUGUUCAAAACACACUGAUGUGAUCGUAUGCUGCACGAUGGUGAUCACACGUCUAAGGCUGAGGAAUGAAACAGACGAAUCAUUGUAAUUUAGGAAUAGAAUCACAUUGGUUUGAAUCGUGUUUGUGAUCUUUUACGACCUAUUAAAUUAAAGUGAUUAGUCAUGUUGGUGGUAUCACAGAUAUAUUAAUUAGCUUUUUUUUGGCUUCUGAUCACAAAUGUAGCCAAACUUUGGAGCGCUUAGAUUAGCGAGCAAGGUCCUGGCAGAUCACAGAUGAUCGGAAUCGAAAUAUUAAUUUGACAAGAAGUAUCCGAUUCCUGACCUUGAGUAUCCGAUUCUGGAAAUCGAUUUUCGAUUCCCAACCCUAAUGAGGAGGAGAAGAAUUGUUAAAAAAAAAAAAAUAUUUUAGUUUUUGUUAAAAAAAAAAAAAAAUUAUUUUUGUUUCCUUUGCGACCAAAAAGUAUUCUUGUAGCUUCUUAAAAUUAUGGUUGAACGCUUGAUGUCACAUGGACUAUUUUACCGAUGUCCUUGCUACGUUUCUGGGCCUUGAUCGUGGUGAUAUCCUUGCUGUCUAUGGAGGGUCUGAGAUCUCUCAGAUUUUAUCAAAAAUAUCUUAAUUUGUGUUCUGAAGAUGUCUUACAGGUUUGGAACGACAUGAGGGAGAGUAAUUAAUGACAAUUUUCAUUCUUGGGUGAACUAUCCCUUUAAUAUUAUUUUGUUUAUUCUUGCAUUAUUUAUUAUGAUUAACUUCCUGUUUUCGUAUAUAGCAUAAUGCUGUUCAGUGAUUGCACUCAGUCAUGCAGGAUAUGACUAAGAUGGUCCAUCUAGUUAUUUCUGAAUUAUUUUUUGUGAACUGGAAAUGUGUUUACUUGAAUAACUUUCAUUUGAUGUAACUGAGGAUUGCAUCAAACUGUGUGAAAAAAAAUGUGAGCAUUAUUGUUUAAUUCAGUUCCCACAAGACUUUAAUUUCAUAAUCUACAACAGUCUUCAGUAGGGGUGCUCCGAUCAGGAUAUUUGAGGUCUGAUCACAGAAAGCAGUAUCUGCCGUUACGAUCACAGAUACUGAUCUUUUAAAGCCUUCUUAUCAUGUAGAAUUAUUUAUAGUGACGAUCCUAUCAAAAUUUUUAGACAUUUAUUCAGGGCCUUAAUUUCAUUUUUGAAAAUGAAUUCCCCUCUUAGGUGACUCUUGUGAGAGGGGAUUUUUUUUAAAUUUGAGGGGUGGAGGGGGGCAUUUUUUUAGACAUAAAAAAAAAAAAAAAAAAAAUUCUCACCUAAAUGUUUGAUCAUGCAGUGCAUUUUUGUUUUGACAAUCGUGCAAUUGUUGCACAAUAGCUUACACACAGCACAAGCCUGAUUUUGUGAACUGCAUGUGAGACGGCCUUUUACGCCAGGUUUACACACGUUUGGAGUGCGUAUGCAGUCCAUGUGUGGCAUGUAAGCGGUGCAGAAGCAGCACUGACUGCAACUGAUCCGUGGCUGUUUACUACAAACACAACAUUUAUCCAUUAUUUUGGUUUCAAAUCCAAACAUUGUUACUUAAAAUGCUUCUUCAGCAUUGUGGUUUUUUUUUUUUUUUUUACACUAGUACAGUAAUACAAUCUUUCGUAGACGUUUAAAUGCAAUAAAAUAUAACUUUGUUUUCCUACCUCCAUGAGUGCCAUCUUAAAUCACAAAUAUUACUAAAUUAAC
rnacentral:lncRNA from 1 species